UACGGAGGGGGCUAGCGUUGUUCGGAAUUACUGGGCGUAAAGGGCUCGUAGGCGGCCAACUAAGUCAUACGUGAAAUCCCUCGGCUUAACCGGGGAACUGCGUCUGAUACUGGAUGGCUUGAGAUUGGGAGAGGGAUGCGGAAUUCCAGGUGUAGCGGUGAAAUGCGUAGAUAUCUGGAGGAACACCGGUGGCGAAGGCGGCAUCCUGGGCCAACACUGACGCUGAGGAGCGAAAGCCAGGGGAGCAAACGGG
rnacentral:rRNA from 1 species